AGGCCCCACUCCACAACCACAGAAUCAGAGAUCUGAGGACGGGCCCCAGCAAUCUGUGUUUUAACCUGCCCUCCAGUAUCUGUCUUUUGCUGAAAUUGGAAAAAGUCUGCUGGGCUAUCAUUUUAGAACACAGAACAUUUCCAUUCCUUAGAAAAAAAUGUUUCUAAAGAAGUGUCUCGACUGGAGGCAGAGUGGAGACUCAGGGAUGGUUCUGAGCCUUACCUCCAGCUUCUCAACAAAUCUUGUUGGCUGCUAUGUAGUGUAAACCCUGACGGUUGAUUUUUUCCUUUUUUUUUGGAAUACAAGUGGCUGACAAGCUUUGAUUGCUGAGACAUCCACUUCAAAGAGGCAUCCACUUCAAAGACGGCUAUCUCAAAUAGACAUGCUGCCAGCCACACACUAGAUAAAGAGCAGGGGGUUCUUCGCCUGCUGAGGCCCCCUUGUUUUAGAGAACUCGGUUGAUUUCAAUAACUAACCAUUUCGGCCAAGUGUUUUCUUUUCUUCCCAGGCUUUAAAUUCCCCUUCUUAUAUUUUAAAUUCACCAAUAAAGAGUGAGCCCAUUGAAACCCUACGCCCCCACCCUCUCAAUCCCAGUAAAAGCAGGGCUGCACUCUCUCUUUCCACCUGUGACCUUGCUGUGCAGCCCCAGGUGUGCUAUGUAUUUCCAGGUCCUGUAAUAAACCUUUAUUUUUUCAAA
rnacentral:lncRNA from 1 species